rnacentral:rRNA from 1 species
GAGCACGUAGGUGGGUUUGUAAGUCAGAUGUGAAAGCCUUCUGUUCAACGGAAGAAUUGCAUCUGAAACUGCGAGUCUUGAGUGUAGGAGGGGAGAAUGGAACUUCUGGUGGAGCGGUGAAAUGCGUAGAUAUCAGAAGGAACUCCGGCGGCGAAAGCGAUUCUCUGGCCUAUUACUGACACUCAGUGCGCGAAAGCUAGGGGAGCAAACGGGAUUAGAUACCCCGGUAGUCCUAGCCGUAAACGAUGGGCACUAAGUAGAGGGGUUUU